AACGAACGCUGGCGGCGUGCCUAACACAUGCAAGUCGAACGAGAAAGGGGGCUUCGGCCCCCGAGUACAGUGGCGCACGGGUGAGUAACGCGUAGACAACCUGCCUUGGGGUUCGGGACAACCUUUUGAAAAAAGGGCUAAUACCGGAUAACAACAGCGUCCGCAUGGAUGCUGUUUGAAAGAUUUAUCGCCCCAAGAGGGGUCUGCGAGACAUUAGCUUGUUGGUGAGGUAACGGCUCACCAAGGCCGCGAUGUCUAGCGGGUCUGAGAGGAUGAUCCGCCACACUGGAACUGAGACACGGUCCAGACUCCUACGGGAGGCAGCAGUGGGGAAUUUUGCGCAAUGGGCGAAAGCCUGACGCAGCAACGCCGCGUGGGUGAAGAAGGCCCUUGGGUCGUAAAGCCCUUUUCUGAGGGAAGAGGAUGACGGUACCUCAGGAAUAAGCACCGGCUAACUCCGUGCCAGCAGCCGCGGUAAUACGGAGGGUGCAAGCGUUGUUCGGAUUUACUGGGCGUAAAGGGCGUGUAGGCGGAUGCGCAAGCUGGGGGUGAAAGGCCAGGGCUCAACCCUGGAUUGUCUCUCAGAACUGCGCGUCUAGAGAAAGUCAGAGGCAGGUGGAAUUCCAGGUGUAGAGGUGAAAUUCGUAGAGAUCUGGAGGAACAUCGGCGGCGAAGGCGGCCUGCUGGGGCCUUUCUGACGCUGAGGCGCGAAAGCGUGGGUAGCAAACAGGAUUAGAUACCCUGGUAGUCCACGCUGUAAACGAUGAGCACUCGAUGUGCGGGGUACGACCCCUCGUGUGUCACAGCUAACGCAAUAAGUGCUCCGCCUGGGGAUUACGGUCGCAAGACUAAAACUCAAAGGAAUUGACGG
rnacentral:rRNA from 1 species